rnacentral:lncRNA from 1 species
UUACCGUCCCCCAAACCCUUCCCCUCCAUCCACUCACUACUUCAUUCCUAUCCGCGGGACUACACCCGAAGAUGGACAAUCGGCCUGUCUCCACAGGAAGUGUGAAUCUGGGUUGAAAAUCUUCCGGUUAAUUUGAUCCACCUAUAAGCAACUGAAUCACCCGCCGCCAGGCGCUCUGUCCGACUCUUCCGGAAAAAGAUGACAGUGUGGCUGACUGGUUCUGGAAUCUUGCCCAGGAAAGAUGCAGAGGUGACCCAGUUCUCAGGUUUUUUCCCCAAUCCUCUCCUACCACUCCCUUCCCUUCCACUCCAGGUAUCAGCCCAGAAUCGCCAUCAGGCAUGGGUUGCCUCACGGAGUCUGUGUGUUUGGGUAAGU